AUGAUGAGGCACGUCGCCGGCGAGGCCGACGCCAUGCGUCGCACCACGCGGUUCUACCGCCGGCACUGCAUCUCCACCUACAGCAUCCACGACAGCGACGGCAUGUGCGCCGACCUGAGCUCCGCCACGCACCGCAAGACCAACUGGAUCUCCGAGCUCUUCGCUCCAUACAACAAGGAGGACUACAAGCAACAGUAA
rnacentral:rRNA from 1 species